rnacentral:rRNA from 1 species
UCGGGAAUUUUGGGCAAUGGGCGAAAGCCUGACCCAGCAACGCCGCGUGAAGGAUGAAGUAUUUCGGUAUGUAAACUUCGAAAGAAUAGGAAGAAUAAAUGACGGUACUAUUUAUAAGGUCCGGCUAACUACGUGCCAGCAGCCGCGGUAAUACGUAGGGACCAAGCGUUGUUCGGAUUUACUGGGCGUAAAGGGCGCGUAGGCGGCAAUUCAAGUCAUCUGUGAAAUCUCCGGGCUUAACUCGGAACGGUCAGAUGAUACUGCUUUGCUAGAGUGCAGAAGGGGCAAUCGGAAUUCUUGGUGUAGCGGUGAAAUGCGUAGAUAUCAAGAGGAACACCUGAGGUGAAGACGGGUUGCUGGGCUGACACUGACACUGAGGCACGAAAGCGUGGGGAGCAAACAGGAUUAGAUACCCCAGUAGUCCCUGAGCGGGCUGGCAAGGCGCAU